GACGAACGCUGGCGGCGUGCUUAACACAUGCAAGUCGAACGGAAAGGCCCUGCUUUUGUGGGGUGCUCGAGUGGCGAACGGGUGAGUAACAAGUGAGUAACCUGCCCUUGACUUUGGGAUAACUUCAGGAAAAUGGGGCUAAUACCGGAUAGGAGCUCCUGCUGCAUGGUGGGGGUUGGAAAGUUUCGGCGGUUGGGGAUGGACUCGCGGCUUAUCAGCUCGUUGGUGGGGUAGUGGCUUACCAAGGCUUUGACGGGUAGCCGGCCUGAGAGGGUGACCGGCCACAUUGGGACUGAGAUACGGCGCAGACUCCUACGGGAGGCAGCAGUGGGGAAUAUUGCGCAAUGGGCGGGAGCCUGAUGCAGCAACGCCGCGUGCGGGAUGACGGCCUUCGGGUUGUAAACCGCUUUCGCCUGUGACGAAGCGUGAGUGACGGUAAUGGGUAAAGAAGCACCGGCUAACUACGUG
rnacentral:rRNA from 1 species